CUUAGUGGCGCAGCUAACGCACUAAGUUGACCGCCUGGGGAGUACGGCCGCAAGGUUAAAACUCAAAUGAAUUGACGGGGGCCCGCACAAGCGGUGGAGCAUGUGGUUUAAUUCGACGCAACGCGAAGAACCUUACCUGGCCUUGACAUGCAGAGAACUUUCCAGAGAUGGAUUGGUGCCUUCGGGAACUCUGACACAGGUGCUGCAUGGCCGUCGUCAGCUCGUGUCGUGAGAUGUUGGGUUAAGUCCCGUAACGAGCGCAACCCCUAUCCCUAGUUGCUAGCAGUUCGGCUGAGAACUCUAGGGAGACUGCCGGUGACAAACCGGAGGAAGGUGGGGAUGACGUCAGGUCAUCGUGGCCCUUACGGCCAGGGCUACACACGUGCUACAAUGGUGCGUACAGAGGGCUGCAAACCCGCGAGGGGGAGCUAAUCUCACAAAACGCAUCGUAGUCCGGAUCGGAGUCUGCAACUCGACUCCGUGAAGUCGGAAUCGCUAGUAAUCGCGAAUCAGAAUGUCGCGGUGAAUACGUUCCCGGGCCUUGUACACACCGCCCGUCACACCAUGGGAGUGGAUUGCACCAGAAGUGGUUAGUCUAACCUUCGGGAGGACGAU
rnacentral:rRNA from 1 species